rnacentral:lncRNA from 1 species
CACACACACACACACACACACACACACACACACACACACACACACACACACAAGCUAACUGCAGUUGCAUGAUUGACUGAGAAAGCGGGAAAAAGUGAGAGCAUGUCUUCUCCUUCAGACAAACUUUUCCCCUCUCAAUUUUCCAAUGACCGCAUUCGCACUUCACAGCCAGAACAGAUGAAGCUGUCGUCAUGAGUCCAUUGCAAUCCAGUUUCUAUGAUAUGGGGAAAAAUAACAACAGCAAUUCAAGCUGCAACUGAAUUUGUGAGGCAAGUCGAUGGAUAUUUAGACUUUGAAACCUUUGCUUUACCUGGGCUCAGGGACCCUUGCAUUGCUCUUUUUGUGACCCUUGUAACCCUCUCACUGAGAGUUGUAGAGUCUCAGUGUCACCCUUUCAGGCUAGCAGUCAGUCGCCUUGACGAGAUGCCUUCUUUUUCUGUAAUCUGUAAUCCUCUGAGCGGCCCGUGCAUUCCUGAGAGACCCAUGCACCCCUCAGUGACCCGUGCGACUCUCACCUGAGCAGUACGUGUUGGACCGCGUCCUGCAAGCAACGAGUACCAGGGUGCAUUUUCAGCCUUUCCGAGCAGAUGGGUCAAUCAAAGAGGAAUUGGCAAAGUCCUAUAUCUUCUGGAGCCUUCCCAAGUACCAGUGGACCAAAGUGUAAAUGCACAAAAUAUUAGCCAGUGACUCACCGCAAACUGGGAUGUGGUUAACGGGUAUGUGUAAUUCUGAGAACACACACACACACACACACACACACACACACACACACACACACACACACACACACACACACACACACACACACACACACACAUGCUGCAACAAAACAGGGUUUGCACAUUCCAGGAGCAACGCACUGCAUGUCUCUUUCAAACAGGUGAGUCUCCAUGUGCCAUGCCGUGUAAAUCUAAUUGUCUCGAAUUAUUUUGCACACUAUCACCUCAUCACGGACAGCCUUGUGAUCCAGCCUACACAGAAAAAUGUAGACUAAUCAGAGAAGUGCUACUGAGUCAACUGCAAACCAUGAAGAACAAAGCAGUUUAACCUGCUUGGAUCUCCUCAACCAGUCACUUGAGUGAGGGCCUCAAUCCUAUACCUGUACCUAGCUCAAGUGACACACGUGGUUGAGGAAGUGACAGGUGUUGGCGAGGAAGGCAGAGGUCAAGAAACAGAACAGCAGGCCCUGGCACUCCUGUCUCUUGCCGACAUCCAAAAGGACCCACCCCAGGACAUGCAAUGCCGCCUUAAAAUCUCUGAUGGUAUGCCAUGCAGUUCUGUCACCUCACUGAAGAGAAAUGCUUGCAUGACGUGCCAACCAUCAGAGAUUGUCAGGGAUCCAUGAUACUCUCCUCCUCACCCACACCCGUCAUUGAAACAACAUUUCAAACCAACAAGAGGACACCAUCUAUGGAACCAACAGCAGGCCUUGGAGGCAAGCCAGUCUUCCGCCAACAUCCAAAAGGACCCACUCCCAGACAUCCAAGACUUACUUGCUGAGACCUGCAUGAAAGGGAGAAGCAGCAAAACAAGCAGUAAGCACCACAGGUAGGCAACAUUAUGAAGCAGAACGAGAUUCUCGAGCAUCUGAUGCAUACAUUUGUUAGUUUUGACAGAACAGGCCACAGGCAGUGAAGCGCUCAGAAAGAGAUCCUUGCGCACCUGACGCGAAAAUGGGGUGAUUUUGACAGAACAAGCAGACUGAAGUUAAUGUCAGCACCACGGGGUUGCAGGAAAAAAAAUCUUGUGACCCUGAUGCAUGAAUGGGGUGAUUUUGACAGAGCAUGCAGAUGUUUGCGUGUAACCUUUCUGUCCUAAGCUGAGGAGGAAUCUGCUAAAGAGGAACGGCCCACGAGUGAAUGUUGGGCAAGAAUCUGUUCACUCUGAAGGAACUUUGCUUGCAUUUGCUUUUGUGAAACUGUUUCAGGGAAUUACAGCAGCUGCACCAAAUCGCCUUGCGAUUGCUGAUUCUAUGAUCAUGCCUAAUACAGAGUUCAGAAGAAAAGCAAGAUGCCUCUGAGAACCACCUCAGGCACAAACCAGUUGAACUGCACGCUCUACAGGCACUUUCACCUCUUUUCUGCCAAAGCCUAAUGCACCAGAAAGAAGAAAGAUGUCCCCCUGUUCUUUCUUCUUCUUUCUUAUUUAUUGGUUGAUUCCUGAAUUAGAGAUCGUAACAGAUGGAUGCCAAGGACACACGGACUGAACAGACACAAAACCGUUCCUCAGACAGCCAAAUCGUGCAUGACGGCCAACAUCAAGUACCCGCGCGCUCACCGAAGUCGCAAACUUUUGCAGAUGGAGAACCCUCCUUCCAGCCAAUCAGCAUGUUGGCCGCCUUGAGGUCAAAGUGCACGAUGCGCUUGGCAUGCAGGUAGUCCAUGCUGCAGGACAGGCAUUGACCACGUGUCAGCAGCAAGGUGAUCUAUUUACAGGCAGGCCAUGCCGCAGGCAGGGGAUUCUCAGUGGGUGAGCAGGAAAGUAAGCAGCAUGCAGGUAGUCCAUGCUGCAGGAAGGGGAUCGACCAUGGGUAAGCAGCAUGCAGGUAGUCCAUGCUGCAGGAAGGGCAUGCACCACUGGUGAACAGCAAGGUAAGCAGCAUGCAGGUGGUCCAUGCUGCAGGUAGCAAAGCAAGCAGCAUGCAGGUAGUCCACGUUGCAGGAAGGGCAUGGACCACUAGUGAACAGCAAGGUAAACAGCAUGCAGGUGGUCCAUGCUGCGGGGAAUCCUGCUGCAGGUAGCAAAGCAAGCAGCAUGCAGGUAGGCCAUGCUUCUGGAAGGGCACAGACUGCGGGUGAUCAGGAAGGCAAGCAGCAUACAGGUAGUCCGUGCUGCAUUGCAGCAGUCUGCAGGCAGUCCGUGCUGCAAGAAGAGAAUCGACUCACUUGCGAACCAGUCAAGUAAGUAUUUUUUUGCUGCAGAAAGUCUGUGCUGCGGAUUGCAAAGUGAGCAGCAAGCAGGAAGUCCGUGCUGCAGAUUGCAAAGUAAGCAGCGUGCUGGCAGUCCGUGCUGCAGGAAGGAGAUUCACCACAGUUCGGCAGCAAGGACACAGGGGCGUGCCAGCGUCCAAAUGGAGCAACUGCAGCGUUACCCUCCAAAGCCAGAGGUUCGAGCACGACAAAAACAAGGCACCCUUAACCUGCUCAAGGAGUGCUGCUGGACAAAUCACUCCACCUUCUUGAGGUGCGAGCACGCACGCGCACACACACACACACACACACACACACACACACACACACACACACACACACACACACACACACACACACACACACACACACACACACACACACACACACACACACACACACACAAACACACACACAAACACACACACACACAAACACACACACACACACACACACACACACACACACACACACACACACACACACACACACACACACACACACACACACACACACACACACUGUCCC